GAUGAGCGCUGGCGGCGUGCUUAACACAUGCAAGUCGAACGGUGAACGAGGGAGCUUGCUCCCUCCGGAUCAGUGGCGAACGGGUGAGUAACACGUGAGCAAUCUGCCCUGGACUCUGGGAUAAGCGUUGGAAACGACGUCUAAUACCGGAUACGACGCGCGAAGGCAUCUUCUGCGCGUGGAAAGAAUUUCUGUUCGGGGUGAGCUCGCGGCCUAGCAGCUAGUUGGUGCGGUAACGGCUCACCAAGGCGACGACGGGUAGCCGGCCUGAGAGGGUGGCCGGCCACACUGGGACCGAGACACGGCCCAGACUCCUACGGGAGGCAGCAGUGGGGAAUAUUGCACAAUGGGCGAAAGCCUGAUGCAGCAACGCCGCGUGAGGGACGACGGCCUUCGGGUUGUAAACCUCUUUUAGUAGGGAAGAAGCGAAAGUGACGGUACCUGCAGAAAAAGCACCGGCUAACUACGUGCCAGCCGCCGCAGUAACAC
rnacentral:rRNA from 1 species